CAGGAUAUCUUGCGAAUGGUUAGAACGAAUGUUCUUUUAUUUAUUUAUGAAUUAUAAAAAUACUGUAUAAAAAUCAGAAAGAAUAAAAAUAACCAUAAAAGUAUGUUACAGCUAAUUUAGACGACAUAAAUCGCUGUUUCAUUUAUUCACUUCAGAAAUGUGCGUGAUUGAACAUCACUCAGUCACGCCACUUAAAGAGAAUUCGAGCAAUAACGUAAUUAAAUAAUUAAUUAAUAUCUCUUUACACAAAAGGAUAAGUUUUGUGACGUCACCGCGCUGCGACCUUAAUGAAUGUUUAAUAUGCUAAAAUACUAUACUCGAUCGCAUUUAAAUGAUGGAAUUUAUCCGUGAUGUGUUCUUAAAAUUAAAUUUACCGAAAAGUUUUUAUUUACUUUUUCGCUAGAUUGCGGCUAUUUUUUACUUUAGUUUUUUUUUGUUUCGUUUUUUUCGUUUCUUCUGCCAGUCACCUGGUGUCUGUUAUCGAUUUUUUUCCUGCACAGACUUCAAUCUGCUUAUCCGUUCCAACGCCCCCUUUUCUGAUUUUAUUGCAAUUCUUCGUCUCCGAAUAUCGAUUGAUAUUUUUCUUUCGCAUGUAAAAAAAAACGUAAAAAAAAAGUUGCUGCCGAGGCGGACUUAGCGCUAAAAAUGCUACCGGAUGUCCGGCCAAGGAGAAAAGAGAGUUUGCUACAGUUUCCUGGAGGAACCAGUCGAAACGCAUUGUGUCUUAGAACGCUUUUUCCCUAGCGAAAGUCAAUCUAUGCCAUCUGGCAACAACAAAGGAUACCCAAAAAUGGGGACCCCAUUGGGCAGCACCAUUUUGAAAAAAUUAAGUUUGAUAAGGAGGAAAAAAAAACUAUAUAUUAUAUAUCCAAAAAAAUGAAAGAACGCUUCUUAAAAACUCAGACUAGCAUUAAAAAAAUGAUACACGCUUAUUUUUAAACGCCGUAG
rnacentral:lncRNA from 1 species